rnacentral:rRNA from 1 species
ACUCGAGUGGCGAACGGGUGAGUAACACGUGGGUGAUCUGCCCUGUACUUCGGGAUAAGCUUGGGAAACUGGGUCUAAUACCGGAUAGGAGCUGCAUGUUGGUGUGUGGUUGGAAAGCUUUUGCGGUAUGGGAUGAGCUCGCGGCCUAUCAGCUUGUUGGUGGGGUAAUGGCCUACCAAGGCGUCGACGGGUAGCCGGCCUGAGAGGGUGUGCGGCCACAUUGGGACUGAGAUACGGCCCAG